AGACACGCGGAUCCCAGGGGUGACAAACCGGAUCAGGUCGGGGCUUUAGCCAAUACGACACCGUUUUGGAGCCACUGGAUCAGGCUUAAAACGGCACCGUUUCUGGUCCUUUAAAAAGACUGAAACCAGCCUCCUUCAGCCGGAUCAAACCCUAGCCCCUUUUCUUCUCAACCAGCACCUUGAACCCCUGGCCUUGUACACCGAUCCACCACCAAAAUGGCAGCUAGUGACUUCGGGGCCACAAGGAUCAUUUUUUAGCUACGAAAUCGCCUAUUGUCUUCGAUUUCGAUGAAGCAAGGAGGAAUGGAUGGCUUAUUCGCAAGGUAUCACCUCUCUUUUCCUUUCUUUUUGAAUGUAAAUGAUGAAAAACGCAAGAAACGAGUAAUCAAAAUAUCGAAACGGAGAUCACCUUCAAAAAUUGGUUGCCUUUUUUUGUAUUCUAUAUGUGCGAUAUGCGUCUGUAUUGCGUGUGUUCGUAACCGACUACAAAGAUUGAAAUAUUGGCUUCAUAGCCGAAAAGAAAGAAAGAAAAAUCAAUAAAAAAUACAAUAUUUUUCUUUGUUUGUAUUUGCUGCUGUGUUUGCCUCAUUUGCUUGCAAGUACGGAGGUACGGGGCCAGCUGUGGGGAUAUGUGGCACUCGACGUAGGGCGUACGGAGGCGUUGGAGGCGGUCCUACGGUGCGAGAGCUAGGGCUCGGUUGCGGCGCAAUGAGAGAACCCUAGGGUUCCUGUUCUUGAAAUGUUUCGGGCCUUUUGGGCCGAUAUAACUUGGAUCUGGGUUUAUCUAUAAAUAGGCUGGUUAUUUGGGUCUUGGGUCAAUUUGGGAUUGGGCAUUAACUUGGGCUGCGGACUAUUGAAAUGAUUUGGACUUUGGACUAUUAAUUAUUUGGUUUUUAUAUUUAUUUAUUUAUUUUGUAUUUUAUCUUGGGUUUCUAAUGGGCCCGGGCAAAUUGGCCCAUUUACAGCUGGUUGAUUUAACAUCAUAUCAUAGUCCCAUAGAGAGUGAAUGGUCGGUUCCUGAGUACACAAACAAAUAGCACAGCUAGCAUUGUUCUUCAUUUCUCUUCGGCGUUGCUUUUCAUUAGUUAAUAAUCUCCCACUUAAGGUGAUCCAUAAGAAACUCCUUAUACGCUAUGGUACUGGCAGCUUUCAUACUUUUGACUACCAUUCAUCUUCAAUAUCCCAGUAGCUACUACUAAUAAACUUGUACGUAGUCGCUACCGAGAAGUUUAACUAAAUAGAGGCUCCCUAAGCAAUUCUAUCCGGUCCAGCAACAUAGAGAAUUGCAGUAUAGUUAAUCAUAUUGUUAAGCCCAUUCCAUUCUUCUUGACCAUGAACCAAAUUAGUAAGUUUUAGAUUUUCAUCAAUAGAUUGAGGCUCAAUACAUUGAUUCAUUAACAGUCUAAGCUCGACAAAACAAGUAUCAAUCCAUAAUCUAAUACGCCUUCCAUUUCCAAUCCCCCAGCAAAUAUUCUAAAAAUAAAUCUCAAAUCUUUGCCAACAAUCUCCAAUUAUAGGAGCAAACAGAUCAGUCAAUCUUCAACGGAUGGUCUUUAUUAACUUUUU
rnacentral:lncRNA from 1 species